AAUUGUUACCGACUCUUUUCAUCACCACGCCACCACCUGAAAACCGAGUCAUUUAUGAUUCGGAGGAUUGCUCUCGAGGUCAAGCAAGAGCUUGCCUUCUCUUUUUAACUCCUUGAUUUCCAUUUUUCAGAAUAUAUUUUCAUUAGAACGUAGUAAUCUAAUAUUCUUUUCUUUUUUUAUCCUAAUCAGCUAGUUUUCUUUUCUUUUUCCAGACGUAAAUUAGCUCAGUGUAAAGAGAGAGAUUCAAGGCUGGUAAGGUGGCAGGAUUUGUAGAUGAUAUUCCGAGGAGAAAAAGUACGCGGUUGCACGUUUAACCGCAACGCUUCUAACGCACGCAGGAUGGUAUUAUCCAGAAUUGUUAGUCUUCCCUGUUUUAAUUCUUAAAGUACCAGCAUUUUAUAUUCUGUGCACAGAGUGCAUUUUUAAACUCCCUCUUCAUUGAACACUACAAUACACGCUUCUCUAGUGUAAUUAUUCAAUCUUUUAAACUAUUUACUCGCACGUCUUCUCUCCAUAUGAAGAUUAUCUGUUUUUUUUUUCAUCUCAGGAAAGAGACAUCGUGCUAAAUUCUUGGGUCAAUUCAUAUGACUGCGAUUAAAAAUCAUUCCAUGAUCUUACGACUUAAUCUAAUUAUUGAGAGAGUGGUGAAUU
rnacentral:lncRNA from 1 species